rnacentral:rRNA from 1 species
UACGUAGGUGGCGAGCGUUGUCCGGAUUUACUGGGUGUAAAGGGCGUGUAGCCGGGCUGACAAGUCAGAUGUGAAAUCCGGGGGCUCAACCCCCGAACUGCAUUUGAAACUGUUGGUCUUGAGUAUCGGAGAGGCAGGCGGAAUUCCUAGUGUAGCGGUGAAAUGCGUAGAUAUUAGGAGGAACACCAGUGGCGAAGGCGGCCUGCUGGACGACAACUGACGGUGAGGCGCGAAAGCGUGGGGAGCAAACAGG